AGUGAAUGGCCUGGAAUGGGGGAACCAAGGGUGGGAGUCAGGGAGCUUAGCUCCACGGACCUGCUGGAAAUCUAGCUUCUGCAUCCCAGCCUGGGCCUGACACUUCCUCACACACCAACUUGUUGACUGGCCUUGCUCUGGGCGUCCAAACACCAGAUCGGGACUCGGCUUGUGUGGAGUUGUAUAUUCAAAACACCAAGGAUAGGGACAACAUGUGCAAAGGAAACAGAGGACUCUAGGUGCAGGGAGGGCAAGGCCAGGACUGGCCGAGACGCGCACCUAUGACCACGGUACCAUCGGGGAUCUCCUGGAUGAAGCACUUCUCCUCCAGCUCGCGGACCUCGAGGGCCAAACGAAAUAACAAAAAGAAGCCGAAGUAGAGAGAAAACCUCCAACUUCUAUGAAACCUUGACGAUGCACACAGUCAUAAACUGCUGCCACAAUACACUAGACUAUGGAUCAAAUCCAGGAAGGACACGAAGGGCAGACUCAGACCUCUGUUCAUUUCACACUGCGCGCAGAGACCUCCAAAACGGGGCGACCCUGGCCCAAGACCCCAAUACUCCUUUACUAGCGGGCCCCUGGGACACCGAACCACCUUCGGAGAGAAGUCAUCAGGGCAGUGCUCCGGCAGCAACACUCGCGUGGAUGAUGUCCGGUACUGAUGAGA